AUGUUAUGUUUAUGAAUGGAUAUUAAAAUCCCCAAAUUAUAUAAGCCCUAAAUAUUUUUUCCCGCUGAUUGUGUUUUGGCGCUAUACCCUCCCAUCUCUUUCGCUGUUCUAUACUUGGUGGACGGAGUGGUGGUUUUAGGUGGUUUACCUCUUUGUUUCAGAGCGACAAUUUGCUGCUACAAUUCAAAGUUCGAUCAAAACUGGGCUGAGGACUGUGCGACUGCUACUAGUGGUUUUCCACCAUCGGUAGGCUCUGAGUUGGUGGUUUUUGGUGGUGCUCCUUUACAACAGUAUGCAAGUUGGAGAAAAUUUUCCCUCCCAGUUUCUUUGAUUCUAUGGAGCACCUAGUCAUACAUCUAGCUAAUGAAGCUCUUCUUGGUGGUCCGGUACAAUACAGGUGGAUGUACCAAUACGAAAGGAAGCUUGGCUUAAUGAAAAGAAGAAUCAGAAACAAAUCAAAGGUUGAGGGUUCAAUUGUGAAGGAACAUCUAGUGAAUGAAAUCGCCACCUAUUGUUCUCUAUACUUUGACUCAACGAUUGAGACACGCCAUAAUCGAGAGCCACGAAAUUUCGCACCGCAACAUCUCAGCUCUUCGAGUGGAGGCUCUAAACUAAGCGUAUUUGUCGUUCCAUCGAGACGAUUACAUCAAAAGGGUGGAACACGGAGGCAUAUGAGUAAUGAAGAACUUAAAAAGGUGCACACAUAUGUUCUUCUAAAUUGUGUAGAAGUUUACCCUUAUAUCGACAAAUUUGAUGAAGUGGCACCACAACUAUAUCCGGACGAACCAGAAUUCCUUCUUAGAGAUAACCAUUUUGCUGAAUGGUUUGAAAAUCACGUAAUGAAUGGCUUAAUUGAUGGAAGCACUCGACAUUUGGAAAUUUUAGCAAGACAACCAUCAAUGUACGCUCAAUCACACAAUGGGUACUUUGUAAAUGGUUAUAAGUUUCACACCCAGAAGUAUGGUAAGGGACUUGUGACCUCAAACUGUGGUGUAUGUGUGAGAGGGGAAACAUAUAACGCGGAAGAGUCUGACUACUACGGCUUAGUGGACGAGAUAUUAGAACUUAAGUAUAAUGGCAAGGAACCUCAAAUUGUGGUAGUGUUUAAAUGUACAUGGUUUGAUAACAACCUGGGUGUAAUAGUUAACAAAAAUAAGCUUGUUGAUGUUAAGCACAAGUUUCAUCUUCCAGGUGAUGACAAGUUUAUCUUGGCAUCACAGGCAGAACAAGUUUUUUACACUUCAUACCCUGCCGUGACACGUGAUACAAAAGAUCUAUGGCCAGUUGUGAAGACAAAAUCUCGUCACAUUUAUGAUCUCACUACACCUGAAACUGAUGUCACCAAUGAUGGUAACACGACAUCACACGAUUUUCUUCAAACUAAUGAACGGUUCGAGUUACCGAAUGCGGUAACUCAGAGUGAUCCCUUAGACCGGGUUACAUUUCAUGAUGAUGAUGAUGAUGGUUGUGACGAUGUUGAUGCAAACGUUUAUUCUGACCACUCUUUAGAUGAAGAUGAACAUGAUUGUUAGGAACAUAAAUUGUUUGUUGUUGUAUACUUAUUAUUUGAGAUUUAUCAUAUGGCUAUAUACAAUAUGAAUGCUGGUAAAGAUAAUACAAGUCGUGGUGGUGGUCGUAGUAGUGGUAGUGGUGUUGGUAGUGGUCUGCGUGGAGGAAAGACAAAACAAGUUUCAAGGAAACGCAUUGAUUGUGGCAUUGUUAUUCGGGAGCCUGAUCUUAGUAGAGGUGAUGGUGAUGCUGUUUCUGGGAGACAAAGAUCCCAAAAAUUGGAUCCAAAACAUCCCAAUGGGAAGGCAACUGUUGAGAAACCUACUAUAUGGACUAAAGGGCCGUAUUUGAUGGUACGACCUCCAAAAGGUCCUUCAAUUUCAUACCGCAGAGGUGUAAGGGGCAGUUAUCAUCGUAUGGGUGAGGGUGAUCCAAUGGCUGAUUUAGGUGGGACGUUAAAUAGUUUGUCAGCAGAUAUUCUUGAUGAUAGGGAUGGUACAACGUUAACACCUCGAAAUUUUUGCGUCCAAUAAUGUGCCGACACGUGUCCUAAGUUUACACGUGGCAUUGAAGGACUAAAAUUGACAAACCUUGAAUAUAUGUAAAUUCGAGGAUUAUAAAUGUCAAUCAAGGGUAAUAUACUUUAUAGUA